rnacentral:rRNA from 1 species
UCUUAAAGCCGUUCUCAGUUCGGACUGUAGGCUGCAACUCGCCUACACGAAGCUGGAAUCGCUAGUAAUCGCGGAUCAGCACGCCGCGGUGAAUACGUUCCCGGGCCUUGUACACACCGCCCGUCACACCAUGAGAGUCUGUAACACCCAAAGCCGGUGGGAUAACCUUUAUAGGAGUCAGCCGUCUAAGGUAGGACAGAUGAUUAGGGUGAAGUCGUAACAAGGUAGC